rnacentral:rRNA from 1 species
AAUGAACGUUGGCGGCGUGGAUUAGGCAUGCAAGUCGAGCGAGAAGUCUGUGAGUGAUCCUUCGGGUGAACGAUCAGAUGGACAGCGGCAGACGGCGUAGUAAUGGAUAGGUUACGUACCCUCGGGUCGGGAAUAGCCAGGGGAAACUCUGGGUAAUGCCCGAUGACCUCUUUGGAGCAAAGGUGUGAUUCCGCCCGAGGAGCGGCUUAUUUGGUAUUAACUUGUUGGUGGGGUAACGGCCUACCAAGGUUUUGAUGCUUAGGGGGUGUGAGAGCAUGGCCCCCACGACCGGGACUGAGACACUGCCCGGACAUCUACGGAUGGCUGCAGUCGAGAAUCUUCCGCAAUGGGCGAAAGCCUGACGGAGCGACGCCGCGUGUGGGAUGACGGCCCUUGGGUUGUAAACCACUGUCAGAGGGGAUGAAAUCGUUGGGGGCUAUCCCCCUUCGUUGACAGAGCCUCAGAGGAAGCACGGGCUAAGUACG